AUUUGCUAAGCAUCCGAAUAUAUAUGCAGAUAUCAAGCCCAUUCUUGUGUGAUGAACACACUUACCCUCAACUUAUACUUUGCAAUGUAUUACUACUAUUGAUGGUAAGCGUCGUAGUCUUCGCGCUAAUGUUGUAUCUUGUGUUGAUGCUAUUGCUGCAGCAGAUGAAGAUACGAUGAUGAAGGCAAUGAAUCGGGCGGCGGUAUGUAACUUGGAUGCACUGAAGGAGAACAGGAUGGUGGUCGACAGCUGUGUGUCACUACAGUCACCUUCUUCUCCGGCCAACAUGAUGCCGGGAAGUAGAGGCACCAGUACAUGGUAAAGGAGCAACGGCUAGUGAAAUCAGCUGAUGAGGGCAGAAGAAUCCAGCCGAUGAGAGCAGAGAGAUCUAGCCGAUGAGAGUAGAAGGGUCCUGCCGAUGGAGGCAGUGGAGAUCUAGCCGAUGAGGGCAGAAAGGUUUUGGCCGAUUCAAGUUCGGCCGUUUAAAAGUUAAAGGAGUCUUGGUUGGCAACACAUUACAUGCAGAUGGAUGUAGAAUUGGUUAAGGGAGACCAGAUUCGUUUCCGAUUCUUGUACGAGUUGUUGUAUUUAGAAAGUUUAUCUCUUUGGCGUCAAGUCUUGUAUUUUGCCAUAAUCAACUAGGACUAGGAGUUAUGAGUUUAGGAUAUAAAUAGAGGCCCUGCAAGGUCUCAAAGAAAAUGUACAUGCAUAAUCAAAACAAAUCUACUUUAUUUGCAAUUUACUUUCAAGUCGACGACUU